GAACUGAGAGGUACCUUAUAAUGCUGACAUUUUCUUCAGUUUAAAGAUGAGAGGGAUAAGAUUCAGAGAGGUUAUGAAACUUGCCUAAGGCCACACAAGGAGGCUGUAGUUAGAAGGGACUUCGACAGGUAACUCUUGUGCUUCCCUCUCUGGAUGCUCAACCUCAAAGGCCAUUCUGCUGCCUUUUUCCCAGGAGCACUGCUCAGCCGUCUUUGCUUCCUGUCACCCAGUCUCCAGGAGCUGAGCCCCAGCAGGAGUGGACUCUCACUCACCAAAAAAGCAGAAGAAAGGUUGUCAAAAAGAGCAAACCACUGUAUAAACCACGUGU